GGAUAUAACGGUGAUCUGGCUGAGGUACCUAGCACCCUAUUGAUUGUCAGGGUUGAUUUAACGGAUCUAGUUGGCUAACAGGGUAUCUCUUUCCUCCCUUACUGCUUC
rnacentral:sRNA from 1 species